rnacentral:rRNA from 1 species
AUGCAAGUCGAGCGGAGNGAGGUGCUUGCACCUUAUCUUAGCGGCGGACGGGUGAGUAAUGCUUAGGAAUCUGCCUAUUAGUGGGGGACAACAUUCCGAAAGGAAUGCUAAUACCGCAUACGUCCUACGGGAGAAAGCAGGGGAUCUUCGGACCUUGCGCUAAUAGAUGAGCCUAAGUCGGAUUAGCUAGUUGGUGGGGUAAAGGCCUACCAAGGCGACGAUCUGUAGCGGGUCUGAGAGGAUGAUCCGCCACACUGGGACUGAGACACGGCCCAGACUCCUACGGGAGGCAGCAGUGGGGAAUAUUGGACAAUGGGGGGAACCCUGAUCCAGCCAUGCCGCGUGUGUGAAGAAGGCCUUAUGGUUGUAAAGCACUUUAAGCGAGGAGGAGGCUACUGAGACUAAUACUCUUGGAUAGUGGACGUUACUCGCAGAAUAAGCACCGGCUAACUCUGUGCCAGCAGCCGCGGUAAUACAGAGGGUGCGAGCGUUAAUCGGAUUUACUGGGCGUAAAGCGUGCGUAGGCGGCUUUUUAAGUCGGAUGUGAAAUCCCCGAGCUUAACUUGGGAAUUGCAUUCGAUACUGGGAAGCUAGAGUAUGGGAGAGGAUGGUAGAAUUCCAGGUGUAGCGGUGAAAUGCGUAGAGAUCUGGAGGAAUACCGAUGGCGAAGGCAGUCCAUCUGGCCUAAUACUGACGCUGAGGUAC